rnacentral:rRNA from 1 species
UACGGAGGGUGCUAGCGUUGUUCGGAAUCACUGGGCGUAAAGCGCGUGUAGGCGGUUCGCUAAGUCUGGUGUGAAAGCCCGGGGCUCACCCCCGGAAGGGCACUGGAAACUGGCGGACUCGAGUCCCGGAGAGGAGGGUGGAAUUCCUGGUGUAGCGGUGAAAUGCGUAGAUAUCAGGAGGAACACCGGUGGCGAAGGCGGCCCUCUGGACGGUGACUGACGCUGAGACGCGAAAGCGUGGGGAGCAAACAGG